rnacentral:rRNA from 1 species
GUCCUCGCCGUAAACGAUGCACACUUGGUGUGGCUGGACUCAACCCCGGCCGUGCCGAAGCAAACGCGUUAAGUGUGCCGCCUGGGGAGUACGCUCGCAAGGGUGAAACUCAAAAGAAUUGACGGGGACCCGCACAAGCAGUGGAGCAUGUGGUUUAAUUCGAUGCAACGCGAAGAACCUUACCUGGGCUUGACAUGCAGAAGACAGUAUCAGAAAUGAUAUCUCCCUUCGGGGCUUCUGCACAGGUGCUGCAUGGCUGUCUU